AGAGUUCCGGUGUGAGAGCGUGUGCAUGAGAGUGAGUGCGAGUGUUGCAUCUUCUUUCAGCGAGGAUCUUCGUGAGGAGUCUGUGGAGCCAGCGCAGGUGAAGCUGAUCUGUCUCAUCAGCGUGCUGGAAUAUAGGAGCGGCAGAACCCUUCAGUCUUCGCUAGAUGGUUAAUGCAUACCGGUAGUCACUCUGGCCUCACCUGUUGAUCUUGUUUCUAGAACUUUGUUGUGCAACUCGUAGCGACUAGCUCUCUGUGUCCUGUUCGUUGUUUAAAGAAUUUUUUUGUCUUCUCUUUUCAAGAACUUGCCGAGAAUACCUGCCUGCCUGCUCCGCCGUUUCCACCGACCCCCUCUCGCUCCAACCACCCGCGAUUCCGCCUCGCACCCGCCCUAGGCACCGUAGCACUCCCUCGCACCGGACCCUGGCACCUCACCCCCACGCUCUGAAAGAUCCACGCCAAAUGCCACCUGGUCGGGCGACCCUCGCCCUCCUGCCGAAGUCCAGAGAACUGAAUAUAAUUUGUCCUGUUGUAAAUAAAUCACUUACCUUUUCCA